rnacentral:rRNA from 1 species
GAAACUGCGAAUGGCUCAUUAAAACAGUUAUAGUUUAUUCGAUUAUUUUCUUCUACAUGGAUAACCGUAGUAAUUCUAGAGCUAAUACAUGCUGUCAAACCUGACUUUUCGGAAGGGUUGUAUUUAUUAGAUAUUAAACUAACCCUGGCAACAGGAUAGUGAUGAUUCAUAAUAACUGAGCGGAUCGCGGCCUCGCCGCGACGAAUCGUUCAAGUUUCUGCCCUAUCAGCUUUCGAUGGUAGUGUAUUGGACUACCAUGGCGAUCACGGGUAACGGGGAAUUAGGGUUCGAUUCCGGAGAGGGAGCCUGAGAAAUGGCUACCACAUCUAAGGAAGGCAGCAGGCGCGUAAAUUACCCAAUCCUAAUUCAGGGAGGUAGUGACAAGAAAUAACAACUCGGGCCCCACUUGGGGUUACGGGAUUGCAAUGAGAACAAUUUAAACCACUUAUCGAGUAACAAUUGGAGGGCAAGUCUGGUGCCAGCAGCCGCGGUUAUUCCAGCUCCAAUAGCGUAUAUUAAAGUUGUUGCAGUUAAAAAGCUCCUAAUUGAAUUUCUGGCCCGCGCUGUUCACGGCUCUCGCAGUCGGUUCACGAGCCUGGUCAUUUCUAUGGAAGCUAACAGUUCUUCAGUGGUCGGCUAGUGGAUCCUAACCUUUACUUG